UCCUUUUUUCCUUGCCUCGCUCUCUUCUCCUUCCUCUCGCCUAACCCUCACCGAUCUCGAUCUGCUGCCGCCCCCACCACCACCAUCGACGACCCACCAUCCCCACCACCCCCGUCGCCCUCUACUCCACAGCCGGCACCCCUACCCUCUCCUUCUCCCCUCUCCCAUCCCAGAUCCAUUCGACCGCGGCGACCACCUCCUCCAUGGCCACCGUGCCCAUGGCCACCUCCUCCGGCUAGCGACCGCAUGCACUCCGCCGCCAGCACCACCUCCCCUCCCCUCCCCUCCCUGGCUAGAGGUCCCCUCCCCUCCAAGGGCCCGCCGCUGAUGAAGUCUGGCAAGGCCGGCUUUGAGGGCCCGCAGGAGGCGCAGCACCGCAUCCGCAUCACCCUCUCCUCCAAGAGCGUCAACCUCGAGAAAGGGUAAUCUGCACACCUACAGGUUCUGCGACAACGUGUGGACAUUCAUCCUGACGGACGUGCAGUUCAAGAACGAGGAGACUACCGAGUAGGUCGGCAAGGUGAAGAUCGUGGCCUACGACUCCAAGCUACUCAGCCAAUAAGAAGCUCACAUGAGCUGGCUCCCGGAGGCGGGGCUCGUCCGAUCCCCGCCUCCGCUAGAGAAGAACUCCACCACCACUGCCGCCACCACUGGUCGGCGCUGCUCCACUUCAUCAACGUCCCCGACAAAUGUCGUCAGCUAGUACUAUGACAAUAUGUAGCGUGCAGAGGGGGAGUACAUUUGUUCCAGCUGCUUAGAUUACUCAAGGGUGUGGGGAGGAGCUUGUGGCUGAGACUACAUCCGCACAGAUGCUGCAACCCAUCACAGCGAGUUCCUCGGCCUCUGUUACGGCUGAUGUAGCAGUAACUCAGGACACCAUUCAUGCCUCGCUACCACUUCUACAUUUUCUUUCUCCAUUCUAGUUACUUAUGUGAUUUAUUCCUGGUACUUGUUGCUGAUGUAUUCUGAUUACUUGUAGGGACCGGUAUUGAGAGAUUUUGGUGGUUGCUUUGAGUACAUUUAACUUGGAGUUCUCCAGUACUCCUAGAUUUGCUACUCAAACAAAUUUUGAGUACUUGCACUGGAAAGGAGUUAAAUACUCCCGGUACUUGCAUAGGUUUAAAAAUGACUUGCGUAGGUUUAAAAUUACUCCUGGUACUUGUGAUGAA